GGAGGGCCCGCCGCACCCCUGCCCCCCCGGGUCCGCCGGCCGGGCGCACCCCAAGCGCGGGCCUCGCGGGGGCGACGCCGUCAGCGCCGCAGGUGCAGCCCGAGGCCGCCGCCGAUCAAGUACUCUUUUGCCACGAGCAAGUGACAGCAAGGAUUUGAAGCGGCCUACGGCGGCGCCAGAGAGGGUUUCAACCCUUAUGCGAGAAGCAUAUCCAGCAAAGGAAGCAGCAUGAGCAAAGACGCUGUGCAGAUGCAGGUCUGUGGAACCAGAACAGCAUCUGAGGCGACCGAGAAGCCAUUGGAGGCGCCUGGCACAGGGUCUUGGCCACAGCUGGAUCUGAAGAUGGCCCUCAGGGUGCUGUGGGGCAGCCUGGGCCUGCUCCGCCUGGUGUGGUGUCUCCUUCCACAGACGGGCUACGUGCACCCGGAUGAGUUCUUCCAGUCACCUGAGGUCAUGGCAGAGGACAUCCUGGGUGUGGAGGCGGCGCGGCCCUGGGAGUUCCAGGCCGCCAGCUCCUGCCGCUCGCCGCUGCUCCCGCUGCUGACCUCGGGCUGCGCCUUCUGGCUGCUCCGGCUCUGGGGCCGCUGGGGGCUGGGGCCCGGCGCGGCCAGCGGCUACGCGCUGCUGGUGGGCCCGCGGCUCCUGCUCACCGGCCUCUCCUUCGGCCUGGACCUGGCCGUGUACCACCUGGCCCCGCGCUGGGGGGCGGAGCGCUGGCGCGCCCUGGUCCUGCUGGCCGGGUCCUACGUCACCCUGGUCUUCUACACAAGGACCUUCUCCAACGCCAUCGAGGGACUGCUCUUUGCGGGGCUGCUGGUCCUGGUGUCCCCCCGCGUGGCUUGGAGCCCCGCACCCCGGAAGCCUGCCCCGGGCCCGCGGUGGUGCGGCUGGCUUCUCGGGGGUGUCGUGGCUGCUGGCUUCUUCAACCGGCCCACGUUUCUGGCCUUUGCUCUGGUCCCGCUCUUCCUCUGGAGCAUUUGUACCGCCACCAGCCCUGGCUUCAAGUCGCCGAUGAAGGAAGCCCUGGUGCUGCUCCCAGGGGCCACCCUCGUGGCAGCCGUGUUUGUGGCCGUGGACAGCUGGUACUUCUCCAGUCCAUCCAGAGCCAGCGCCCUCGUUCUUACACCUGCCAACUUCCUGUACUACAACCUGGAUCCUCAAAACCUGGCGAGGCAUGGCACACACAUGCGGCUCACUCACCUGGCAGUCAAUGGUUUCCUGCUCUUCGGGAUGCUGCACGCCUGGGCCCUGCAGGCGGCGUGGCAGCAGCUGCAAGCCGGCCUCCAGGCCUUUGCACAGGCGGGCUUCCUGAGGGCUCCGGGGGGCUGGAGCCUGCUGUCUAGCCCCAGGCCCUGCCUCCUGCUCCUCUACUUCACGCCUCUGGCCCUGCUGUCUGCCUUUAGCCACCAGGAGGCCCGGUUCCUGAUCCCCCUCCUGGUCCCCCUGGUCCUACUUUGUAGUCCACAGACCCAACCUGUGCCCUGCAAGGGCACUCUGGUCCUCUUCAAUGUCCUGGGUGCCCUUCUCUUUGGCUGCCUGCACCAGGGGGGCCUAGUGCCUGGCCUAGGGCACCUGGAGCAGGUGGUCCAUGCACCUGCACUCCCAAGCAGGCCCACCCACUACACACUGCUCUUCACGCACACCUACAUGCCCCCCCGGCACCUUCUCCACCUCCCAGGCCUGGGCUCGUCCGUGGAGGUGGUGGACAUGGGUGGGACCGAGGACUGGGUCCUGUGCCGUGCCCUGAACAACCUCACCAGACAGCCAGCCUGCCAGGUGGCCGGUGGGCCGUGGCUCUGCCGCCUUUUUGUGGUGACCCCUGGCACCACCAGGCCUGCCACAGAGAAGUGCCACUUCCCUCUCAAGAGUGAGACACUCCUGUUUCCCCACCUGACCCUGGAAGACCCUCCAGCCCUGUCCUCUCUGCUGAGUGGGGCUUGGAGGGACCAUCUCAGCCUUCACAUCUUGGAACUGGGGGCGAAGCCUGACAAUGUGACAGAAAAGCCACUGGCCAAGAUUCAGCCGUAGGGGAAGGCGCCACUCCACCGCUGUGGGUAGCUGGGCUGGGACACAGCCCUGACUCUCUUCCUUUCCUUUCCCUUCCAGAAUUCCCACUACUGCCUCUCCUGUGCAUAGGCUUUGGCUGCUCUGCCUUCUGGCUUCAAGUGCCCCCGCUCCAGAGAUUAAGGGGCCCCCAGGCACUGCAGUCCUGAGCUGGGGACCACAGUCCUGCUCCUGCUGCUCGGGUGGGCCCAGCUCCAAGGCCGGCCGUGCCGCUCCUGCCGCUGCAGCCACGCUCAGCUCGCUGCCUCCUCGCGACUCCAACCCCGAGCAACAGGACAAUCAGCAAUAUGUUGGUAAACGGUUAGCACCCCGCUCUCUGGGGGCAGAAACCCCCAUCUAUAGCACUGGCUGAUUGCCGCGGCCUAAAUGCUCCCGCCCUGGCUGAUGUCAAGCGGCCAACAUGACGUCACUGACCUCCAAGUUGGGAAGAAAUGCCAAGAGCUGCUCCCAGGAGCCAGCAGGGGUUGGCCCAGGGCGCCGGGGAGCUCAGCUGGUUAAGCGCCUGCCUUUGGCUCCGGUCAUGAUCUCCAGGUCCUGGGAUCGAGCCCCACAUCAGGCUCUCCGCUCAGCGGGGAGUCUGCUGCUCCUUCUCC